rnacentral:rRNA from 1 species
GACGAACGCUGGCGGCGUGCUUAACACAUGCAAGUCGAACGGAAAGGCCCUGCGUUUGUGGGGUGCUCGAGAGGCGAACGGGGGAGUAACACGUGAGUAACCUGCCCUUGACUUUGGGAUAACAUCAGGAAACUGGGGCUAAUACCGGAUAGGAGCUCCUGCUGCAUGGUGGUGGUUGGAAAGUUUCGGCGGUUGGGGAUGGACUCGCGGCUUAUCAGCUUGUUGGUGGGGUAGUGGCUUACCACGGCUUUGACGGGUAGGCGGCCUGAGAGGGUGAACGGCCACCUUGGUCCUGCGAUACGGCCCAGACUCCUACGGGCGGCAGCGGUGGGAAGUCUUACGCAGCGGGCGGAAGCCUGAUGCAGCAACGCCGCGUGCGUGAUGCCGGCCUUCGGGUUGUGAACCACUUUCUCCUGUGCCGAGGCGUGAUUGACGGUAAUGGGUCAAGAAGCCCCGGCUAACUACGUG